rnacentral:rRNA from 1 species
UACGUAGGGGGCAAGCGUUGUCCGGAAUUAUUGGGCGUAAAGAGCGUGUAGGCGGCUAGGUAGGUGGGUUGUGAAAACUGGAGGCUCAACCUUCAGACGUCGACCCAAACCCCCUGGCUAGAGUCCGGAAGAGGAGAGUGGAAUUCCUGGUGUAGCGGUGAAAUGCGCAGAUAUCAGGAAGAACACCCGUGGCGAAGGCGGCUCUCUGGGACGGUACUGACGCUGAGACGCGAAAGCGUGGGGAGCGAACAGA